rnacentral:rRNA from 1 species
GCCUAAAGCGUCCGUAGCCGGCUCUGUAAGUUUUCGGUUAAAUCUAUAUGCUCAACAUAUAGGCCGCCGGGAAUACUGUAAAGCUAGGGAGUGGGAGAGGUAGACGGUACUCCGUAGGAAGGGGUAAAAUCCUUUGAUCUAUGGAUGACCACCUGUGGCGAAGGCGGUCUACCAGAACAUGUCCGACGGUGAGGGAUGAAAGCUGGGGGAGCAAACCGGAUUAGAUACCCGGGUAGUCCCAGCUGUAAACUAUGCAAACUCAGUGAUGCAUUGGCUUGUGGCCAGUGCAGUGCCGCAGAGAAGUCGUUAAGUUUGCCGCCUGGGAAGUACGUACGCAAGUAUGAAACUUAAAGGAAUUGGCGGGGGAGCACCACAAGGGGUGAAGCCUGCGGUUCAAUUGGAGUCAACGCCAGAAAUCUUACCCGGAGAGACAGCAGGAUGAAGGUCAAGCUGAAGACUUUACCAGACAAGCUGAGAAGUGGUGCAUGGCCGUCGCCAGCUCGUGCCGUGAGGUGUCCUGUUAAGUCAGGUAACGAGCGAGAUCCUUGCCUCUAGUUGCCACCAUUACUCUCAGGAGUAGUGGGGCGAAUUAGCGGGACUGCCGUAGUUAAUACGGAGGAAGGAGAGGGCCACGGCAGGUCAGUAUGCCCCGAA